ACAAACUUUGAAAAGCAUAGAAAUGGUCAAGUCAGUUCAAUAUGGGUUAUUUUAAUAGUAGAGAAUUUUUUUUUUAUGACUAGUAUUUUUUAUUCAAAAAUUUUUUACCUGCAGUCUGGAGCUUAUUAUCUAAAAAAAUUGUUGUUUUGUUUGGCUUAAUUUUUUCUUUUGUACAAACAACAUAAAAUAGAUACAAGUCAGCAAUACGCGCAUUAUCACAACGUUUCUACUUAUUAUCAAGCGUUGGCGCUAUGAUCUAAAUUAAACAUAAAGAUGUCGAGAUUAAGGUAAAACAAAAUUUCCGAUUGAGCGCAAAAAUAUUUUUUUUGAUCAUGUUCCUUUAUGAGCGAAUAACACCCAGUUACGAUUGGUAAAAAGAGUGGUUGGAAUAAUUUUAGGGAAAAGAUUGAUUGGUGUGUGCCGUGCACAAAAAAAAGCGGCUUUCGAAAAGAGACCGAUUAAAAGUAAAUAUUGAAUUGCUGUUGGUAGUGAACUUUGGUAAACAAAAGCCAUGGAUUCAUGACCUGGAAUAGGUAAACUGCCCGGAUACCGACUCCAUACUUUACAAGUUCUUUGAUACGCUUUACUUAGGACAUCAUUGACGUCUUCUUUAGGUUUUGAUUGGCUUGAAAUUUUUGUUUUAGAGUAUUGCUGUGGAGAACAAAAUAGUGUAUCAGGAAUAACGUAUGGUCGCAGUUUCCAAUUAUGGGUUGCCAUUUCCUUUUUAAUCAAUCAAGUUAAAUAGAGAUGAUGAAUUUGACUAUGUGUUACUUUAACAAGAAAAAACUUGCUCGUUUUGACAAAAUUAAUUAUACGCCUCAAACUAAUUAUAUAUAUUGGAGAUUUAAUCAAAAAUCACACAACAAUAAAUGUAAAAACGUGGAGAGUGAAUGGCAUACAAAGUGACAAGCACUCGUCAUUUUCAGGACAACCUCAAAUGUUCAAAACGACUGUCGAUUCGUGUACCUUAUCUUUUUAUAAAAAAAAUGAAGGUAAGCGAUGCACCAUGUAAAGAUCAAUUAAAUGCAUCAAAACAAUUGAGAAAAAAAGGUGAAAGAAUUAAUGUAUGGAGUGAAAGUCAAAUUUUGAACCGGAUUAAGGAAAUUGAAACAACAUUACAAGACAAUGCUAUUUGUGAAAAAUUAUCGAAAGCACGUAAAAAAUUGCUGCGAAAACGCGUAGUUCACCUUAAAAGAGCAAUUGAAGCAAAGAUUCCAGUGGGUGGUCAACUUUUAAAGAAAAUUCGAAAACAACGUUCAAGUGUUAAAAAUGAGGUUACUGGGAAGAAGAAAUCGAAAAAAGAAUGUCUUUGUUGUAGGAAAAGAGGCCAUACGUUACAAGAAUGUCGAUAUAAUCCGGAUGCACUAAAAUCUGAAGACUUUCAUAAAAAAAUGAGAAAAAUAACGGAUGAAAAGCUUUGUAUCUGUUUUAAUUGUGGAUCGUGCUCUCAUACAUUAAAAAAUUGUUCUACACCUCGUAAAGAAAAUGGAUUCUUACCUUUUGCUAGUUGUUUUGUUUGUAGCGAAAAAGGUCACUUAUCACAAACCUGCCCGAGAAAUAAAACAGG